AUACGGAGGGUGCAAGCGUUAUUCGGAAUCACUGGGCGUAAAGGACGCGUAGGCGGGAAGCCAAGUCUGAUGUGAAAUCCUAUGGCUUAACCAUAGAACUGCAUUGGAAACUGGUUACCUAGAGUAUGGGAGGGGGAGAUGGAAUUAGUGGUGUAGGGGUAAAAUCCGUAGAUAUCACUAGGAAUACCGAAAGCGAAGGCGAUCUCCUGGAACAAUCCUGACGCUAAGGCGUGAAAGCGUGGGGAGCAAACGGGAUUAGAUACCCUAGUAGUCC
rnacentral:rRNA from 1 species